ensembl:lncRNA
CUUACGCCAUAACUUCAGAAGAGAAACCAACUUAUCGGCCUCAUCUCUAAAAACACCCCCUUAACAUCGGCUCAUUUCCGCCUGUACUCCACAGGAGUCGCGUUUAGCUUUGGUAGCUCUGCAACAAAAAUAAUAUUUGCGGUUAAUAAUAAAUGCGCCGAGAUGCUUUGAAGUUGGAGGUUGCUGGUUCCUCUGAUCCAAGCCGGUGUUUGUACGCGCACGGGCUGUCGGUGGCUGACGCUAAGUUGGAAACCAUGUCCACCCACGGCGGUCACGGUCAAGAACUGCGGUCAGCAAAGAUUUUGUUCACCACACCGCAGCGCUGGCCCUGCGAGAGCUGCUCUUUCCUCUAACCAGGAUCUUAUUAUGAGCGCGGUGUUAUCAAACAGAUGCUGCCGUGUGUUGGAGGGUUAAUGAAAGAGCAGGACGGGUCAGAGGUCACCUCCAGCCCGCCGACCGCAGAGACCUGACUCCGUUUGGGGCUGGCCUCCGCUGAACAUCGCCCCGAG